GCAAUAUAUUUGCACUUUUAUUUUGGUGCUUAACAGUUGAAGUCAGUUGCAGGUGUUAACAGUAUUCAUGUGCACCAAGGAGCUCUAGGAGUUGGGGAGGAAGGAGGAGUCCAGGGACAUCAAUUGGCAGCGCCAUGAAGCUCAGCAAGAGGCGUGCAAGAGGGUCACCAUCGUUGUAGCAUACCAUAGCUCAGACCAGAACCACAAGAGAUGGAGUUUGACACCCUGAAGCAAACAAGCACCGGUGUUGAUUGGAGUAAAAAUACAGACAUCAACUAAGAUAAUCGCAGGUUCGGUCCAUCAUUUUAGGUUCGGUUCCAAGGCCACGUGGUUUUGUCUGGAUGGAUCCCCUCUUUGAUUGUAUUCCUGGAGCCAUAAAUACUGAGGUCAAUUGUGAGGAUAU